CCUUAGGCUGGUCAGUGUGGUGGUCAGUCUGGGUCAGGCUGUGGACACUGAGGUGAAGCAUGGCCACCAACAAGCACAGUGGGAGGGUGGCCUUCAUCAUUCUUCACAGCUACUGCGUGGACAAAGAACAAAAGCUCUUGGAUGCUGGAGGUCAGCUGUAUUGACAUCUGAUCUUUUAUUUCUGUCUGCUACUGCCUUCAAGUGGUAGUCACUGUUAUCUCCUGACCUCCUCCUUUACUAUGGAAGUGUUUUUUAAAUCCUUGUUCUUCUGAGUUUACCUGUAAUUCCUCUCCAUUGCUGCCUACUUCAGUUCUGUUUUAUUCCAGCUACAAAAAUUCCUCGGUGGUGGGGAAAGAAAGACGCGAGUAUUAAAGAAAAUUAGGAAUCCAAGGGAGAGAAGUGAAAAGAUGGGUUCCUUCUUGUGUGUAUCCCACAUCAGGUUAUGGGAAGAUGAGACCACUGGUGUGGACGUGGCCUCUCCUAUCUUUCCAAACUUCUUAUCAUCAGGGAAGUGUCCUUUUGCAAGGUAAAUAUAUGCCUAAGAGCAUGAGAGCCAGAGUAGUGCUCAGCAGCAAGCCAGGGUGUCAUCUUGGGCAUUUGUAGUGUCUCUGAUAUUUUUUUUUCUUUCUUUGUUUACUGCUUUCUCUUUUACCAGUUAGACCGAGAACCUGCUGGGAUGAUUUGUGAUGUCUAAGGUGCUUAACCUGCCAGAAAACAGGUAAGAGCUAUUCCUAUUAAAAAGAUGGCACAAGUGACUAGAAAAACUCCAAAUAGCCCUCACAGAGUGUCCUACUUGAAACAGAUCAGCUUCAGGCAGAAGAUUACAAGUUAGCUGCUCACCCCCCAAACAAUGGUAAGAGGACCCAAAGACAUGGGUUCAGCAGAGCAGAUGAGAUGAUGUUUACUGGGAUUUUCCCCACCCGAAGACAGCACUCUGACCAGUAAGAUUUGGUUAAAAGGAUCCAGCUUGUCUUUCUGCAGCUUUGCUCUGUGUGAUCUGGGUAAACUGGAAUUUACAGAGGACUUAGRCGUAGCAAAAUCAGUUUGUGAAUUCUGUCUGGACCAUCUUUACUCAUUCACUUCAGUUUUSGUUAUCUAGUUGUAAGCUUUAGGGAAAAUUAGUUAUGAAAAUAAAAUUGACAGUUGAGAAGUCAGGAUACUUAUUGAAACAGAUUUCUUCUAGAUGUUUUUGAGCUAUUUGGGAUAAAUAUUCAGAACAGAGUCAUACUCCGUGGAGCUGCUAUAGUGAAUCCCCCAAAUUUGCUAUUUGAUAUUUCUUGAAAUUAAAUUCAACUGUCAUUUGAGUGCUUAGAAAGUAGGUUUUACCCUUGAAAGCAGAUGUGUUUUAUGACUCACUUAACUAAAUAUCAUACAGCUGGCUCAAAAUCAUUAAGGUAAAGAUAACUGGGUACUUACUUUACAUUCAGAAGGCUCUUGCUCUCAGUGGGUUGUGCUGUUUCUUGCUGCUUUACUCGUACUGCUGUUUUCCUCUGUUAAACAUUACAUGGCUUCAGAUACACAUUACCUGGAAGCACAGUGCUGCAUGCUGAUGAAGAAAGUUUUCAUGGACUUUGUGUCCACAUCUCUUCACUCCAAAGAGAGAGCAAAGACCAUAGGGCCCAGCUGGUCAGUAGAGUGUUACAUCCCAAAGGAUAUGCAAUCCUAAGCAAAUAUUUAUUGGAAAUUAUAUUUUGGUGGCAAGAGCAGUUACUCUGCUCUGUGUGCUAUCUGAGAUGGAUAUAACUGUUCAUCUGGAGACACAAUUUUGCCCAGCACUAAACUCUGUAAGGCCAGGGUGAGGGAGCUACAAGGAGCACUACUUGUCCUCAGCCAUGCUACCCAGCUUACUGGGCUCCACUUAUGUGUCAAAAUCUUUUAUUUCUGUGCAGCAGAAACCUCAUUGGUCACUAUUCAGAAGCCAAUGAGUCCUGUUGGCCUCAUAAAUAAAGAGGGUGCCUCCUCCAGUCAUGUAGGAAUAGUGAAUUUUAGCUGUAUGACAAUUAAUUGAAUGCUCUCCUCACAACCAAUUUUUUCUUACAGAUUCUUUCUGUAUCUCUGUUAAGGACCACCUAAUUUAUCAUAACCCGAAAAAUACUUAAUGUAGAUUUUUGCAAUUCCAAAAGCUGUAUAAAGUAUGAGCCAUCACUGCAAGUGCCCAGAGACAAUACUGAACAAAUGCAACUGCUGUAAUGUAUAUGAACAGCAACCUAGUCUCAAAUACAUCAAAUAACAAAUGAUGGAAGAGAGAAUCUUCCAAAGGAAGAUAAAUGCUGUGAAGCAGGUUUACCACCAUUCAUGAAUGGAUGAACUGUUCAGAUUCAUGGUUUGAUGAGCCAGCCAGGAAAAUGCCUGAUUAGUCCCUCCAUGCCUCUGGUGCUCUUUGCGGGACUUGGUCUGCUCAGCAAGGUGCAGCACAAUCCCUGGAUCCUGGAGARCCAAGGAGAUGUGGGUGUAAACCAGUGUAAACACAGUUGUUGCCAAUCCCCAGUUGUGCUGCUUUCAGAUGUAAUUCUUUACCUACUGGAUCUAGGACCUUGGUCAUGCAGAUAGGUUACCGGGACKGUAUUUACAGACAGCACUUUUUAAAAAAUUUUCAUCUUUUCCUUUUUUUAAAUUUCAGAAUGUGGCUUAACUCUGCAUGCUUGCUUUAGAAAUAGCCAAAGUUUGCUGUUAAAUAUUUUGAUUUUGAAUUUGUAUUUUUUUCUUAGUAGAGUACCAAUURCUGCUGUCCCUUGGAGCACCUGUGAAGGUCAGGUGAGACUUGAUGAAGCAGCCUGUUUUGUUUUUUUGCCAGCCACAAAAACCCUGCAUUAAAUUGAGUGAAGGUGUAGCUAGAAUGCCCGAUGGCACAAAUGCAGUUCUUCAGGAAAAAAGAGAGAGGUGCUCAUGUUGCUCCAAGACAGUCAAGAUGUUGGUGGUUCUGGGCACUUCUUUAGUCAUACACGUGAGCGGUGUUAAACAUUUACACUUCUAUUAAACAUUGCAUGGAUCAGAAAAAAAACCCCUGUCUGAGGACACAGAUAAAUGCUGAUGUAGCCAUGCAGAGAAAGUAGAAGUCAGUGCUCUCAGGGCCAGCUGGCUCCAAUGUUUGUUGUCCCCAAACAUUCACAACAGCCAUCUGCAAACACACUUAGAAGAGGGUAGGUCCAUGGCUAUGAGCAGCUGGACUAUCCCAUACACCUUCCUAGCUUAUUGCCAGCUGGUGAAACAAGGGGUAAGACAUCUCCUGAAGUGUGUUACGGCUUGCACUGGGGCUUUAGUGUUCUGAUCAUGCAGUUGGGGCCCCUGCUUCAACAUGGCACUAAGAAAAGCAGAGCAGARGAGGUAGUUAACAUGUAACUUGUUUUUUCUUCCCCCCACAAAUGAACUUGGCAGCAGUUCAGAAAUAGUCCUACAUUCAAGGGCUUUCUUUGAGCCUUGGUUCAGUCACAACAGAGGAGGAACCCUGGGCACUGGACCCCRUCGUGCUGCUGCAGGGCCAGCUGAAGCAAAAGAGAGCAGGAAAGAGAUGGUGCUGUAAAGCACCAAAGCAAGCAUUGAGGCUAAUUCUGGAUUCCCUGCAUGACUCUGAGGUGAACCAAAAYACGCCUCAGUACAGUGAGAAAACGGUGUCAGAGACACAAGCACAAAUCUUUUUGCCAUUCAACAUUCCUCUGUAUUAGUGAAAUCUUGUUGAAAGUCAGCAUGGAUUGAUUUUUGAAACGCUUUCAAAAUCUGCUUCUCUUUGCUUCCAUUAUCCUCAUGAGAUGCCUUGAAGAAGAGGUUCAUAAUCCUACCAGGGAGGUCAGCAGAGGUUCUCCAAGCCAGCAGUUGGUCCACGCCAGGGCCUGCUUCUGGAGACAGUGUGUAAAGCAUGCCUACACUACUACUUUGUUUUACACCUUAGUUCCUUCCKAAAAAUGUGAUUCAUUCCUGCUGUUUUAUUCCAAAUGCUUCUUUUAAAAGCUACCUAGGUUUUUCAUCAGCAAAUACUCAGCUUCCCUUGCUGCAGCCCCAGCCAUGCCCUACUGAAUGCAAUGCAAAGCAUCACUCUAUAGAAACAUUUACUCAGGCUGUUACAAAACUCUCCUGUAAUUUUGAGCACUCUGAAAGAAAAGUAAUGGCACUGUCUGAAAGCAGCAAAAUGUCAGCCUUGGCUGAGGAUGGACCUGGGUGAAGUAUUUGCAGAGUAGUCACAGCCACCCCUCUCCAGGCCUGUAACACCCUCACUGUAGAACACAUAUGUGCUAUAGAUGUGAAACCCUCUCUGUUGGCUGGCCCAAGGCUGUCUUCAUGUCCUGUCCACAAAGACAGUACUUGCCUUUCCAAACUUCGCCAUUGCUUACCCUGGCACCAGGCUCCAGCUGAGAGGAUGCAGUGACAGUGGGGAGCUGGGGGUGGUGGCUCUGGGGCAGUAGCCACUGUUAGGUUGAAGAACUCACUUAAAGUUCAAGGCAUACAUGUUUGCAGUCAGAUUUUCCUAUUAAUUUUUAUUCUUGCAACAGGACUGAAAGGUCUGCCAACCCUGGCUUUCCAGCCAGCAGUGAAGGAAGAUGGAUGCAUGGAAGGUAAGCCAUGCUGUUUUGUUGAGGUUCACAUAAGAAUCUUUCCUGUAUUUCUUUUCCCACAAAUAUUUUUCUUAUCUUGUUAUUCUUAUUUCUCUGUUAUCCCAUUUGGCAAAACCCACAUGCUCAUUUAUACUGUAGAUAGAGAUUAAUUUCAGGAUCUUGUUACCUUAAUGAGUCUUUCAUAAUUUGCAUAAUUUGAGAGGUAAACAUAUCCAUUUCAAACAAUGAUAAUAGAAGCUACAGAUGAUGAAUGGUGUUGUCAAGUUAUCCAGGAGGAACAUGGAUUUAUGAUUSACAUGCCAGUCAAACGUAAUGUAGCAAGAGUUCAGUUUCUGACUGCCAUUAAAAUCAUUACUUCAGGAUAACGAAUUUUGUAUUUCAUAAUUUUAAAAUGUGUUCAAGAUUUUCUCUAAUUUU